rnacentral:rRNA from 1 species
GACGAACGCUGGCGGCAGGCCUAACACAUGCAAGUCGAACGGGCUCUUCGGAGCUAGUGGCGGACGGGUGAGUAACACGUGGGAACGUGCCUUUAGGUUCGGAAUAAGCCCGGGAAACUGGGUCUAAUACCGAAUGUGCCCUUCGGGGGAAAGAUUUAUCGCCUUUAGAGCGGCCCGCGUCUGAUUAGCUAGUCGGUGAGGUAAUGGCUCACCAAGGCGACGAUCAGUAGCUGGUCUGAGAGGAUGACCAGCCACAUUGGGACUGAGACACGGCCCAAACUCCUACGGGAGGCAGCAGUGGGGAAUCUUGCGCAAUGGGCGAAAGCCUGACGCAGCCAUGCCGCGUGGAUGAUGAAGGUCUUAGGAUUGUAAAAUCCUUUCACCGGUGAAGAUAAUGACUGUAGCCGGAGAAGAAGCCCCGGCUAACUUCGUGCCAGCAGCCGCAGUAAGAC